rnacentral:lncRNA from 1 species
AAUCAGGAAUCAUCAUUACAAUUUAAUAAUAAUAAUAAUAUGCUUAAUGGGGAUUUUGGUGGCAAACCCUCAUUUUAUUUAUAUACACUUUUUGAGAGCAAGAGUUGUUUCUUUUUCUUUCUUUUUUUUUCUUUAUAACCCAUGGGUCUUAUGUUAUUCCCCAUGUUGAAGAGGUUGUUGAAUUGAAUUGAAUAAUGGUGGGUUCACACUAAUAUAAAACUUUCAUUUUACCAUCCUUCAAGGGAAAUAAUUCAAAUGUAAAGAUCAUUCUGGAGAAGUCUGGACUUACUGCCUAACAAAGGGGAUUGCUUCUGGAUACUUUAAGAAUUUGAGUUCUUCUCAGUUCGGGAAAAUAAGAACUUCACUCAAAACUAGGACUGGAAGGCAGAGCUUUUCCUCCAAAGUGGGAAUUUCAAGGACUUUCUCAAGAGAGGAAAGGGAACACAUAGAGCAGCAAUAUGAGAUGUGCAGCAGUAGUUCUGGACACACCACCCACAGCUCCUCCUUGGAGACUGGAGAGCCUAAAGCUAAAAUGGCAAGUUAUGGCUUGAGGACACACAGGACAGCUCGGGGGGUCACAAAGAAGAGAAUAACCUUUCCUGAAGCUGAGAAGACCAGGAUGUCUACUUUCCCAGCCCUUUGUUAGAGGGUUUUUCUUUCUCACCUGGGACUUCAUUAGUUAUUUAUCCCAACUACCUUUCCAAGAGCAGAUUUAUUCUGAACCUGAUCAUUGAAAUCUGCCUCACUGUACAAUGAACUUAGUCUGUUGUGACCUUUUAGUAGGUAGAGCAUUAUCUCACAUUUUACCAAUCAAGAAACAGUCUCAGCAUUUGAACUCUCCUAGUGCAUUUAAAGUAUGGUGUGAUUUACAAGAAGUUCUUUAAAAUUUGUGGUUGUUAGUGUUGUUGUGCCUGACUCUUUGUGACCCUAUUUGGGGUCUUCUUAGCAAACAUUGAAGUGGUUUCCCAUUUCCUUCUCUCACUCAUGUUUCAGAUAAGGAAAUUGAGGCAAUUAGAUUAAGUGAGUUGCCUGGGGUCAUAUAACUAGUAUUUGAGUCCAGAUUUGAACUCAGGAAGAUGUGUCUUCCUUUCUCCAGGUGUAGCACUCUAACCACUGUACCACCCAUUUGCCUCUUUUAAAAAGAAUGCCUUUAUUGAAUUAUAGCAAAGGAACCAGAAGGAUUUUCAGAUGUUACCUAGUAUAACUCCCUCAUUUUACAAAUAGAAAAUUCAAGGUCCAGAGAGUUUGAGAUUUGCCACUGUGUCAGAACAAGAACCUCAGUACCCUGACCUCCAGUUUUGUACUUCUCCCCACAAGACCAGUGGUUUCCCACAUAUGGUUUGCAGACUCCAGCAGAGGGGUGAAGUGGAGGCAGGACAUUAUUUCAAAGGACUUGAGAAUCCACAUGUGAAUCAGGCCUUGACAUUUUAAGCUUUAUUGGUUCCUACAGAUGUAUAAGAUGGAAGGUAACUACUAUCAUGCAGGGGACUCAAUAGUGUUUUUUGAGGUUAAAAAGAAAUAUUCUUCAAGAAAGAUAGAGAACUGCUGUGAUUGAUAUUACAUCAAAGAAGGCCCUUGGACUAUUUUUUGCCAUGAGCAAUUUUUUUUAGAUCAAGUAGAGAGGAUGUUCUCUGCCUUAGCUAAAU